GAUGAAGAACGCAGCGAAAUGCGAUAAGUAAUGUGAAUUGCAGAAUUCAGUGAAUCAUCGAAUCUUUGAACGCACAUUGCGCCCCCUGGUAUUCCGGGGGGCAUGCCUGUCCGAGCGUCAUUACAACCCUCAAGCUCAGCUUGGUGUUGGGCCCCGCCGCCCCGGCGGGCCCUAAAGUCAGUGGCGGUGCCGUCCGGCUCCGAGCGUAGUACAUCUCUCGCUCCAGUGCCCGGUGGUAGCCUGCCAGAACCCCAACUCUCGUGGUUGACCUCGGAUCAGGUAGGGAUACCCGCUGAACUUAAGCAUAUCAAUAAGCGGAGGA
rnacentral:misc_RNA from 1 species